GUCUGGGGUCACACCACCCUGAACAUGCUCAGUCUCGUCUGAUCUUGGAAGAAGCAGGGUUGGUCCUGGUUAGUACUUGGAUGGGAAUUCUUUAUG
rnacentral:rRNA from 1 species